UGAGAAUGCACUCAAGAAUACACCCCA
rnacentral:piRNA from 1 species